rnacentral:lncRNA from 1 species
UUAUUUUAUAUAGAUUAUUAUAUAUUUUUUCUAUAUAAAUAUAAAAUAUAAAGAUAUAAAUAUAUAAAUAAAAACCCUUGGGUUAUACACAUACAAUGCCAUCAAGUCCACUUAGGGCCUACAUUGGGUUAUUUAGUUGGUUAGUGUGGUAGAUUUCAAUUUUAAAACAUAAUAUCAGUAUUAUGCUUCCUGUCCACUGAUACCAGACAUGGAACUAUGUAAAAAUAAAAUAUGCCAGUUCAGAGAAGAAGCUUUAAGAGCUUUAAAUGGUUUUACCAUCUGUCUUUCCCUCUGCCAUGAGACUGUCAUGUUCUAUGAAGUGCUGCUUCUUCCAUCUGGGUCCUGCAAUAAAGGUGAUAUGGAGCAGAACAGCUGCCAAUUUACAAUGGAUGUGAAUAUGAGAAAUAUUUCCUUGUUGCUAGCACAUACGUACAAGGGCAGAGGCAGAAGGAGAGGAAGACAGAAUCUCAAGCCGACUCUGCACCAAGCAGGGAGCCCAACAGGGAGGACCAAUCCCAUGACCCUGAGAUCAUGA